UUUCAUAUUAAACUAUGGUGUACCCUGUUUUACCUAAUUUGUUGUCCAUCAUGUAAAAUUUAAGUGAUGAUAGACGCCAAUUUGGGUAGAGGAAGGCUCACUAUGUUCAUCAUUUGGAAC
rnacentral:pre_miRNA from 14 species